CCCCACAUCCAGAUGCCGACCACCCCUUCCUCGUACGCCCACCCACCAGCAUGCCUGCCCUCUUCCUCCUCCAUACCACCCACCCCCCACUAUUUCCCGUACCCCUCCCCACCAUGCUCCCCAGGCCCUGGGGUGAAGGGGGUUGGCAGGGCCGGGGGGGUUACCCUGCGCUCUCCGGCCACCCGUCACCUCACCCACCUGGACCCCUGGAGGAGACACAGUUGGGAGCCCGGAGCUAUCGUUACGGUGCAGCAGAAGGGGAUGGAACCCAGCGACAACCGCAGUGUGAGUCUGGAGAACCUGGACCCCGAGGAGAUGGAGAAGGUUCUGGGUGUGGCGCUGGAUGUCCGGCGAGGGGGGAGGGAUCAUCGGAGGAACCCCAUUACCCAGGAGGGCUCCCUGUCCUCCCUCACAGAGGAAGAGGCAGGGUCUGACGUGCAGCACUACUCCAUAUUGGAGGAGCAGUCGAACCAGCUGCAGGGUUGCAGUGCAUCGGCCCCGACCCUCAGUGUGGCGCGUCACAGAAACCUUCAAAGCACGGCCCCCCGACCACGCUCCGACUGCUACGGUAAUCCUACGCUGCACGCCUGGUUUGUGUUCAUUAUGUACCAAACGAAGAAAAGGGGGUGGGCCUACCUGGAACUGUCCAAUAAGAAACACAGAUUUUUCUUUCCUUUUGCAAAACAUUUAAUAGUGUUCUGUUGUGUGCCCUAAUGAACACAACCUGUGGUCAGACACAAGUUCACAGCGUUAAAGGGGUCACAUGGGCUGCCUGCGGUCAUAUUCUGUAUCCCUUCCCCCUAAAGUGUAUACUCGUUUCUCCCGUAUUUCUUACAUCUGUCUGUCCAUUCCUUUUUAAAUUCAGUCCAUGAAGGGGACUGUAUACUUUGUGGAGAAGGGUAGAGAAUUGGAACGCAGCCAAGGAAUGUUACCUGAAGAGCUAAAGUAGCUGAUUCCAAUGUUUUCUGGGCAGAGUGUAUCCUUGUAGUCAUCUCUAGAUUUGAGUAAGUCUAUAAACUCCUGACUCUUCCCAAACGCUGCUCUGCCACUGCAGAGGGUCUUUCUUGCCUUUAUGUGGUCUGUAACGUAUCUAGACUGUGUCAUUGUGCCUUGUUUUUGUUUACACUAGUUGAAUAAUUUUGUAAAUGUUAUGUGGGUAUAUUUAAUUAUUAUAAUUGGGUAUUGUAAUUUUCACUAAGUGCAUGCCUGUUUUUGUUUGUCAAUGAUUGUCAGUUUGUGCACGUGUGUUUGUCAGGAUUGUUACUCGGUGUGUGUGUGUUUUGUGUUUCACUGUUUGUGUGUACUGUGUUUCACUGUUUGUGUGUACUGUGUUUCAGUUUGUGUGCAUGCUUCAGUCUUUAUUUCUCAUUGUUUGGCUCUGUCUUUUGUCUCUCAGUAUGUGAUUCUUAAGGGUUUGUUUGUGUGUGUGCCCCUGCCACUGUGUGUGUGUGUGUGCCUCCAUCUGUGUGUGUGUGCAGCAGUGCGGAAGCGCUCUUCCUGUGUUUGUUCUGUCGCUAGCCCCAGUCCCAGGUUCACAGCAGACCCUCCAUUUCUACUGCUAACUCUCCCAUCUCUCCGCUCUUGCUCUGUACUAGUCUCCUCCACUUCAAUUCCUGCUCAGAUGACCAACUUGGUUUUACUAUAAUAUCUUCCAUCAUUCUCUUCCUAUCCCUCUCUUCUAACCUGUGUUCUCAAACUCAGUAGCCUAUAGGCUAUCUGUGCCUCUCACUCUCAUAACAACUUACUCUUUGUGCUUGGCAAGUUUUUUUUCUUGGUUAAAGAUAGCACUGCAACCCUUGAAUGAGAAUCAGGUGAUUGGGACAUUAACCUACUUUGUGUGUUUAAAAAAAAUAUUUUGUUUAUUUAUUUAUUUUCUGCCUUGUUCUAGGCAUAGCUGUUAUUGAGAAGUUCAGCCAGAGUAAUACGCUUUGGAGAG
rnacentral:lncRNA from 1 species